rfam:Schistosoma rodhaini strain Burundi genome assembly, scaffold: SROB_scaffold0004630
AUUUAGCUGACGAGCCCGAAAUAGGACGAAACGCGCGUCGUGGAU